AAAAAAGGUAAGCUACUAAGAGCGAAUGGUGGAUGCCUUGACUGGUAAAGGCGAUGAAGGACGUACUAGACUGCGAUAAGCUACGGGGAGCUGUCAAGAAGCUUUGAUCCGUAGAUUUCCGAAUGGGGCAACCCAAUGUAUAGAGAUAUACAUUACCUAUAUAGGAGCGAACGAGGGGAAUUGAAACAUCUUAGUACCCUCAGGAAAAGAAAUCAAUAGAGAUUGCGUCAGUAGCGGCGAGCGAAAGCGCAAGAGGGCAAACCCAGUGCUUGCACUGGGGGUUGUAGGACUGCAAUGUGCAAGAGGUGAGUUUAGCAGAACAUUCUGGAAAGUAUAGCCAUAGAGGGUGAUAGUCCCGUAUGCGAAAAACAAACCUUAGCUAGCAGUAUCCUGAGUAGGGCGGGACACGAGAAAUCCUGUCUGAAGCUGGGUCGACCACGAUCCAACCCUAAAUACUAAUACCAGAUCGAUAGUGCACAAGUACCGUGAGGGAAAGGUGAAAAGAACUGAGGUGAUCAGAGUGAAAUAGAACCUGAAACCAUUUGCUUACAAUCAUUCAGAGCCCUAUGUAGCAAUACAGGGUGAUGGACUGCCUUUUGCAUAAUGAGCCUGCGAGUUGUGGUGUCUGGCAAGGUUAAGCAAACGCGAAGCCGUAGCGAAAGCGAGUCUGAAUAGGGCGCUUAGUCAGAUGCUGCAGACCCGAAACGAAGUGAUCUAUCCAUGAGCAAGUUGAAGCUAGUGUAAGAACUAGUGGAGGACUGAACCCAUAGGCGUUGAAAAGCCCCGGGAUGACUUGUGGAUAGGGGUGAAAGGCCAAUCAAACUUCGUGAUAGCUGGUUCUCUCCGAAAUAUAUUUAGGUAUAGCGUUGUGUCGUAAUAUAAGGGGGUAGAGCACUGAAUGGGCUAGGGCAUACACCAAUGUACCAAACCCUAUCAAACUCCGAAUACCUUAUAUGUAAUCACAGCAGUCAGGCGGCGAGUGAUAAAAUCCGUCGUCAAGAGGGAAACAACCCAGACUACCAGCUAAGGUCCCUAAAUCUUACUUAAGUGGAAAACGAUGUGAAGUUACUUAAACAACCAGGAGGUUGGCUUAGAAGCAGCCAUCCUUUAAAGAAAGCGUAAUAGCUCACUGGUCUAGUGAUUUUGCGCGGAAAAUAUAACGGGGCUAAAGUAAGUACCGAAGCUGUAGACUUGCGCACAACUUAGAUUAUUUAAGUUUAGAAUAUGAGAAACUAAGUUAUAUGUUUAGUUAUAUUUUUACUGAUUUUUAUAGAGUAAAGAUAGAAAUAAAACUUAGUAAAAUCAGUAAAAAUAUUCUUAGACUAAAGUUAAGUAGUUUAAGUUGUGUGCAAGUGGUAGGAGAGCGUUCUAUUUGCGCCGAAGGUAUACCGGUAAGGAGUGCUGGAGCGAAUAGAAGUGAGCAUGCAGGCAUGAGUAGCGAUAAUUAAUGUGAGAAUCAUUAACGCCGUAAACCCAAGGUUUCCUACGCGAUGCUCGUCAUCGUAGGGUUAGUCGGGUCCUAAGUCGAGUCCGAAAGGGGUAGACGAUGGCAAAUUGGUUAAUAUUCCAAUACCAACAUUAGUGUGCGAUGGAAGGACGCUUAGGGCUAAGGGGGCUAGCGGAUGGAAGUGCUAGUCUAAGGUCGUAGGAGGUUAUACAGGCAAAUCCGUAUAACAAUACUCCGAGAACUGAAAGGCUUUUUGAAGUCUUCGGAUGGAUAGAAGAACCCCUGAUGCCGUCGAGCCAAGAAAAGUUUCUAAGUUUAGCUAAUGUUGCCCGUACCGUAAACCGACACAGGUGGGUGGGAUGAGUAUUCUAAGGCGCGUGGAAGAACUCUCUUUAAGGAACUCUGCAAAAUAGCACCGUA
rnacentral:rRNA from 1 species